UUUUCGGAAGGUAUGCUUAAAGAUGAGCUUGCGCCACAUUAGUUUGUUGGUGGGGUAAUGGCCUACCAAGACGAUGAUGUGUAGCUGGACUGAGAGGUCUAACAGCCACAUUGGGACUGAGACACGGCCCACACUCCUACGGGAGGCAGCAGUAGGGAAUUUUCGGCAAUGGAGGAAACUCUGACCGAGCAACGCCGCGUGAACGAUGAAGUAUUUCGGGAUGUAAAGUUCUUUUAUUGAAGAAGAAAAAAUAGUGGAAAAACUAUCUUGACGUUAUUCAAUGAAUAAGCCCCGGCUAACUAUGUGCCAGCAGCCGCGGUAAGACAUAGGGGGCGAGCGUUAUCCGGAAUUAUUGGGCGUAAAGGGUGCGUAGGCGGUUAGGAAAGUCUAUAAUUUAAUUUCAGUGCUUAACGCUGUCUUGUUAUAGAAACUACCUUGACUAGAGUUAGAUAGAGGCAAGCGGAAUUCCAUGUGUAGCGGUAAAAUGUGUAAAUAUAUGGAGGAACACCAGAAGCGUAGGCGGCUUGCUGGGUCUUGACUGACGCUGAGGCACGAAAGCGUGGGUAGCAAACAGGAUUAGAUACCCUGGUAGUCCACGCCGUAAACGAUGAGUACUAAGUGUCGGGAUAAAACUCGGUACUGAAGUUAACACAUUAAGUACUCCGCCUGAGUAGUACGUACGCAAGUAUGAAACUUAAAGGAAUUGACGGGACUCCGCACAAGCGGUGGAUCAUGUUGUUUAAUUCGAAGAUACACGAAAAAUCUUACCAGGUCUUGACAUGCUCUGCAAAGCUAUAGAAAUAUAGUGGAGGUUAUCAGGGACACAGGUGGUGCAUGGUUGUCGUCAGUUCGUGUCGUGAGAUGUUAGGUUAAGUCCUAAAACGAGCGCAACCCUUGUCGUUAGUUACCAGCACGUAAUGGUGGGCACUUUAACGAGACUGCCAAUUAAACAUUGGAGGAAGGUGAGGAUUACGUCAAAUCAUCAUGCCCCUUAUGAUCUGGGCUACAAACGUGAUACAAUGGCUGUUACAAAGAGUAGCUGAAGCGCGAGUUUUUAGCCAAUCUCAAAAAAGCAGUCUCAGUUCGGAUUGAAGUCUGUAACUCGACUUCAUGAAGUUGGAAUCGCUAGUAAUCGCGAAUCAGCA
rnacentral:rRNA from 1 species